rnacentral:lncRNA from 1 species
GGCUUCAUCGGCGUCGAUCACGUGAUAUUCCCUGACUACGGCGCGGGAGAGGGGGUAGGAGGGUCCUUGAAGGGUGCGCGCUCCCGCGGCGGUGCACCCGGUAGGUUUCAGUCAGAGUCACUAUGGCGGCCGGCGCUGGCAAGGUCGGAAAGUUUCCUGCCUCUUCGGGCACAGCCUGAGCGUGCCCCACGGGCUGCGAGUGGUGGAGGCUGCGGCGGACCCAGCCCGGGGCCUCCAGGCCUCUUCCCCCUACCCCAGGGCCAGACUCCCUCCCCCACCUCGUCGUCCGCCCGGAGCUGCGGCUGCGGUCCCUGCGAUGCGACCCUCGCGGGGGCGACUCUGAAAGGAGGCGGCCCGUGUGCUGAGCAGCGGCCAGGAGCCCAGGUGUCUAGGGACCGAUUUCCCGCCGGCCGGGACCCCCGAACCCCUUCGGGGUCGCGAGGUCGCGCCUCGCUGGGUCCGCACCAGCCUGCGGAGCCGGAUCCCCGCCCUGGUCUCGGGGACGCCCACCAGGUGCCCCGGAGCCCGGGCCGGGCCGCUUUCUGCGCCCCCCGGUCCCCGCGCCUCGCGCCGAGGACCCCAGCCACCGCUGCCUCGGUUCGUGCCUGGCUGGGGUCCCCGCGCCCCCUCCCGGGGCGGCCUCCGCGGAGCAGGAGCCAUGCAGACUGUCCCGCUGGCCGCUUAGACCCCUCGCCUUUCCCCGGCCGCUCGUCCCCUCCAUCCCCGAGGCCCUGCAGGACCGGCAGUGGCUACCCAGGGGUGCUCAGUUACACCUUCCUCGGGCCCCGAAGGACCUUCCUGGCCGACCGAACCGACCCUUCCUUCAUGCUGCAGUGCUGCAACGUUUCCGCCACCGAGGGGGAAAAGCGGCCGCGAUCCCAAACAAAACGCAAGAAUUGGUGUGUGACUCAUCUGCUUGGAUACCUCCAGUCCCUAGACUGUCUUCCAGGAGUUUUCUUGGCUGAAACUGACCGAUGUUUGAGCCCUUUCUUCCCGCGGAAGAAGAUGGACUGAAAGCUGCUAGUUGGGGACUUUUUGUGAUAAGGGCCCUGCUGGAUUUUAAAGGAGGUGAUGGGGCUGGCCCUGGCUUGUCUUCCACCCAAGUGAAGAGUUGUUGAUGCUCACUGGUUAUGCUUAGACAAUGCGCAGUUUGUUUUAAUUUAAAAUUUUGGGGGGGAUAGGAGUAUAGGCUUUUGAAGGGCAGCCCGGAUCCGGAGGAACUCCUCUUUGUCUCUGGUAGGAGAGACACCCCCAGGUUAUCCUCGAUGCCGUCAGCCUUGGCCAUCUUCACUUGUCGCCCGAACUCGCAUCCGUUUCAGGAGCGUCAUGUCUACCUGGACGAGCCCAUCAAAAUCGGCCGCUCUGUGGCCCGCUGUCGACCAGCGCAGAAUAAUGCCACCUUCGACUGCAAAGUGCUGUCAAGGAACCAUGCUCUUGUCUGGUUUGAUCACAAGACGGGCAAGGUAAUGUCACCACGUUGUCUGUCUUUACUUUUCCUUUCCCUUUGCUAUCUGUAAAGUGUGCAACAAGGCCACGAAUCUACUGCCCAGUUCUAGUGGAAAUGUAAAUGAAUGGAAAACAGAGAAAGUAUUGUAAUGAAGUGCCUUGAGAGUGUGAUCGCACCUUGAUACCGCAGUCGUUCCCAGUGAAAUUCCAAACCCUAAUUCCUUUAGGAAAACUAGCUAGUGAAACUUGGCGUCUCCCUUUCAGUCCUUUUAGAAAGGUGAAUUUACAG